GAUAACAGAAAAAUAAUAUUCUGAAUAAUGGUUUUUGCAACAAGGCAUAAGGGUACAAAUGUGGACUUUUAAUUAUGAACUUUUACACUGGAAACGAGGAGGAUGGAGAGACGCACGAAACGGGACUUUUUAUACACUUUUUAUAUUUUAUAUCUUUUUCACUGGAAAUGUUUGUUCACUUGAUCUGUUUUAAUAUGGACAGAAUCUAUUUGGUGGCUAGGCAAACAAAAUUGGAUCCCUUAGCAGUUGCCACCUGCACCAUGAAUGGAAGGGGAGGGGCUAAUGGUUUAAAUGUUCACAACUGUGUAGAUUUUGUAACACUUGACAAAGAGCGCCAGCUCGAAACAUGUAGUGGAAUAAAAGAGCACCUGGAAUUUUUGCAGUAA